rnacentral:tRNA from 3 species
GGGCGGUUAGCUCAGUUGGUUAGAGCGCUGCGUUGACAUCGCAGAGGUCGUAGGUUCGAGUCCUAUACCGCCCACCA